UACAGAGGUGGCAAGCGUUGUUCGGAAUUACUGGGCGUAAAGGGCGCGUAGGCGGUUCGUUAAGUCCUGUGUGAAAUCCCCCGGCUCAACUGGGGAACUGCACAGGAAACUAGCGGGCUUGAGUUCGGGAGAGGGAAGCGGAAUUCCGGGUGUAGCGGUGAAAUGCGUAGAUAUCCGGAGGAACACCGGUGGCGAAGGCGGCUUCCUGGGCCGUCACUGACGCUGAGGCGCGAAAGCUAGGGGAGCAAACAGG
rnacentral:rRNA from 1 species